GAUGAAGAACGUAGCAAAAUGCGAUAAGUAAUGUGAAUUGCAGAAUUCAGUGAAUCAUCGAAUCUUUGAACGCACAUUGCGCCCGCCAGUAUUCUGGCGGGCAUGCCUGUUCGAGCGUCAUUUCAACCCUCAAGCACAGCUUGGUGUUGGGACUCGCGUUAAUUCGCGUUCCCCAAAUUGAUUGGCGGUCACGUCGAGCUUCCAUAGCGUAGUAGUAAAACCCUCGUUACUGGUAAUGGUCGCGGCCACGCCGUUAAACCCCAACUUCUGAAUGUUGACCUCGGAUCAGGUAGGAAUACCCGCUGAACUUAAGCAUAUCAAUAAGCGGAGGA
rnacentral:misc_RNA from 1 species